rnacentral:rRNA from 1 species
GAUGAACGCUAGCGGCAGGCUUAACACAUGCAAGUCGAGGGGUAUAGUUCUUCGGAAUUAGAGACCGGCGCACGGGUGCGUAACGCGUAUGCAAUCUACCUUUCACAGAGGGAUAGCCCCAGAGAAAUUUGGAUUAAUACCUCAUAGUAUAGCAGUUUCGCAUGAAACCACUAUUAAAGUCACAACGGUGAAAGAUGAGCAUGCGUCCCAUUAGCUAGUUGGUAAGGUAACGGCUUACCAAGGCAACGAUAGGUAGGGGUCCUGAGAGGGAGAUCCCCCACACUGGUACUGAGACACGGACCAGACUCCUACGGGAGGCAGCAGUGAGGAAUAUUGGACAAUGGGCGCAAGCCUGAUCAGCAUGCCGCGUGCAGGAUGACGGUCCUGUGGAUUGUAAACUGCUUUUG